GCUUUGUGGUGUAGUGGUCAGCACGUUCGGCGCGUAAUCGGGAGGUCCGUGGUUCAAGUCCCGGCGAGGGCA
rnacentral:tRNA from 1 species